CCUACGGGAGGCAGCAGUGAGGAAUAUUGGUCAAUGGGCGAGAGCCUGAACCAGCCAAGUCGCGUGAGGGAGUACUGCCCUAUGGGUUGUAAACCUCUUUUGUCGGGGAGCAAAAGCCGGACGUGUCCGGCUGUGAGAGUACCCGAAGAAAAAGCAUCGGCUAACUCCGUGCCAGCAGCCGCGGUAAUACGGGGGAUGCGAGCGUUAUCCGGAUUUAUUGGGGUUAAAGGGUGCGCAGGCGGAUUUUUAAGUCAGCGGUCAAAUCGUGGGGCUCAACCCCAUCCAGCCGUUGAAACUGGUGAUCUAGAGUGUGCGAGAGGUAUGCGGAAUGCGUGGUGUAGCGGUGAAAUGCAUAGAUAUCACGCAGAACCCCGAUUGCGAAGGCAGCAUACCGGUGCACAACUGACGCUCAGGCACGAAAGCGUGGGUAUCGAACAGGAUUAGAUACCCCUGUAGUC
rnacentral:rRNA from 1 species